AUACGUAGGGGGCGAGCGUUGUCCGGAAUGAUUGGGCGUAAAGGGCGCGUAGGCGGCCUGUUAAGUCUGGAGUGAAAGUCCUGUUUUCAAGAUGGGAAUUGCUUUGGAUACUGAUGGGCUUGAGUGCAGGAGAGGUUAUCGGAAUUCCCGGUGUAGCGGUGAAAUGCGUAGAGAUCGGGAGGAACACCAGUGGCGAAGGCGGGUAACUGGACUGCAACUGACGCUGAGGCGCGAAAGUGUGGGGAGCAAACAGGAUUAGAUACCCUGGUAGUCCACACUGUAAACGAUGAAUGCUAGGUGUAAGAGGUAUCGACCCCUUUUGUACCGGAGUUAACACAAUAAGCAUUCCGCCUGGGGAGUACGGCCGCAAGGUUGAAACUCAAAUGAAUUGACGGGG
rnacentral:rRNA from 1 species